rnacentral:rRNA from 1 species
AACGAACGCUGGCGGCAUGCCUAACACAUGCGAGUCGAACGAGACCUUCGGGUCUAGUGGCGCACGGGUGCGUAACGCGUGGGAACCUGCCUUUAGGUUCGGAAUAACUCAGAGAAAUUUGAGCUAAUACCGGAUGAUGUCUUCGGACCAAAGAUUUAUCGCCUUUAGAUGGGCCCGCGUUGGAUUAGCUAGUUGGUGGGGUAAGGGCCUACCAAGGCGACGAUCCAUAGCUGGUCUGAGAGGAUGAUCAGCCACACUGGGACUGAGACACGGCCCAGACUCCUACGGGAGGCAGCAGUGGGGAAUAUUGGACAAUGGGCGAAAGCCUGAUCCAGCAAUGCCGCGUGAGUGAUGAAGGCCUUAGGGUUGUAAAGCUCUUUUACCCGAGAUGAUAAUGACAGUAUCGGGAGAAUAAGCUCCGGCUAACUCCGUG